GGCGAGUAGCGCAGCUUGGUAGCGCAACUGGUUUGGGACCAGUGGGUCGGAGGUUCGAAUCCUCUCUCUAUCGCCG
rnacentral:tRNA from 1 species